ACUUGGUGAUGUGGAUAUUUACGAAGUAGGUUCCUAAAGCGCUCCCACGUCUCAAAAAAGAGUUCCCCUUCCAUUUGUGAGAAACAUGUGAUGGCUCUCUAAAUU